rnacentral:rRNA from 1 species
UACGUAGGUGGCAAGCGUUGUUCGGAAUUAUUGGGCGUAAAGGGCGCGUAGGCGGUUUGUUAAGUCAGCUGUGAAAGCCCGGGGCUCAACCCCGGAGGGUCGGCUGAUACUGGCAGGCUAGAGUACGGAAGAGGUAGCUGGAAUUCCCGGUGUAGCGGUGAAAUGCGUAGAUAUCGGAAGGAACAUCAGUGGCGAAAGCGACUUCCUGGACCAGUACCGACGUUCAGGCACGAAAGCGUGGGGAGCAAACAGG